GACAGAGGCCUCAAGCGUUAGGCGGAAUCACUGGGCUUAAAGCGUGUGUAGGCGGACCGUUAAGUGUCUUGUGAAAUCCCACGGCUCACCCGUGGAACUGCUGGGCAUACUGGCGAUCUUGGGCCAACUAGGGGCAACUGGAACAAGCGGUGGAGCGGUGAAAUGCGUAGAUAUCGCUUGGAACGCCGAAGGUGAAAACAGGUUGCUGGGGUUGUGCCGACGCUGAGACACGAAAGCCAGGGGAGCAAACGGG
rnacentral:rRNA from 1 species